UGAACUCCAAAUCACACGUCUUUACAAGUAACUACAACAUCUCAUUCAAAAGACUCCAUAUCAUCUCAGUAUUAUUUGAUUUGUUGAGGAUGCAUGUGUGGCAUUUUCUUUUAAUGCUCACUAAAACCAACUUACGCUCUGGCUUUGAUUCAAUUGAGUCUUACUCCAGAAAACAUCAAUAGGCAAGGAAGCAAAAAACCACUUCCAAAAAAAAAACAAAAAAAAAUAGAGUGAAAUAGAGUGAAGGAAACUUGCACUUCGAGAGGAACGGUGGGUAGGUUUUUUUAGAAAGAGAGGAAAUUGGUGGUAGAAGGAAGGGGAAGAAAAGAGGAAAGGGAAAGAAAGAGGGAGUUGUUGCCGAAAAUGCCCGGUCUGGCAAAGGCGACGACGUCGGUGGCUGAGUUAGGGAGAGAGGGUUUAGAGAAAUGGGUUGGUU
rnacentral:lncRNA from 1 species